rnacentral:tRNA from 1 species
GGAAUAUAGCUCAGUGGCACAGCACCUGCCUGUCAAGUACGAGUUCCUGAGUUCAAUUCCCAGUACCA